rnacentral:rRNA from 1 species
UACGUAGGUGGCAAGCGUUGUCCGGAAUUAUUGGGCGUAAAGCGCGCGCAGGCGGCUUUCUAAGUCCAUCUUAAAAGUGCGGGGCUUAACCCCGUGAUGGGAUGGAAACUGGGAAGCUGGAGUAUUGGAGAGGAAAGUGGAAUUCCUAGUGUAGCGGUGAAAUGCGUAGAGAUUAGGAAGAACACCGGUGGCGAAGGCGACUUUCUGGACGACAACUGACGCUGAGGCGCGAAAGCGUGGGGAGCAAACAGG